AUUGAACGCUGGCGGCAUGCCUUACACAUGCAAGCCGAACGGCAGCACGGGUGCUUGCACCUGGUGGCGAGUGGCGAACGGGUGAGUAAUACAUCGGAACAUGUCCUGUAGUGGGGGAUAGCCCGGCGAAAGCCGGAUUAAUACCGCAUACGAUCUACGGAUGAAAGCGGGGGACCUUCGGGCCUCGCGCUAUAGGGUUGGCCGAUGGCUGAUUAGCUAGUUGGUGGGGUAAAGGCCUACCAAGGCGACGAUCAGUAGCUGGUCUGAGAGGACGACCAGCCACACUGGGACUGAGACACGGCCCAGACUCCUACGGGAGGCAGCAGUGGGGAAUUUUGGACAAUGGGCGAAAGCCUGAUCCAGCAAUGCCGCGUGUGCGAAGAAGGCCUUCGGGUUGUAAAGCACUUUUGUCCGGAAAGAAAUCCUUGGCCCUAAUACGGUCGGGGGAUGACGGUACCGGAAGAAUAAGCACCGGCUAACUACGUG
rnacentral:rRNA from 1 species